rnacentral:rRNA from 1 species
AUUGAACGCUGGCGGCAGGCCUAACACAUGCAAGUCGAGCGGCAGCGGGAAAGUAGCUUGCUACUUUUGCCGGCGAGCGGCGGACGGGUGAGUAAUGCCUGGGAAAUUGCCCAGUCGAGGGGGAUAACAGUUGGAAACGACUGCUAAUACCGCAUACGCCCUACGGGGGAAAGCAGGGGAUCUUCGGGCCUUGCGCGAUUGGAUAUGCCCAGGUGGGAUUAGCUAGUUGGUGAGGUAAUGGCUCACCAAGGCGACGAUCCCUAGCUAGUCUGAGAGGAUGACCAGCCACACUGGAACUGAGACACGGUCCAGACGCCUACGGGAGGCAGCAGUGGGGAAUAUUGCACAAUGGGGGAAACCCUGAUGCAGCCAUGCCGCGUGUGUGAAGAAGGCCUUCGGGUUGUAAAGCACUUUCAGCGAGGAGGAAAGGUUGAUGCCUAAUACGUAUCAACUGUGACGUUACUCGCAGAAGAAGCACCGGCUAACUCCGUGCCAGCCGCCGCAGUAA